rnacentral:misc_RNA from 1 species
GAUGAAGAACGCAGCGAAAUGCGAUAAGUAAUGUGAAUUGCAGAAUUCAGUGAAUCAUCGAAUCUUUGAACGCACCUUGCGCUCCUUGGUAUUCCGAGGAGCAUGCCUGUUUGAGUGUCAUGAAAUUCUCAACCUUUUCAGCUUUCUUUGUUGAUCAGGCUUGGAUGUGGGAGUAUGUGGGCUUCUCAGAAGUCGGCUCUCCUGAAAUGCAUUAGCGGGACCUUUGUUGCCUGGCUUUGGUGUGAUAAUUAUCUACGCCAUUGUAGUCAAGCAGCUUAAAAUGAGGUUUCAGCUUCUAACCGUCUCCCCUGAGACAACUUUUUGACAAUUUGACCUCAAAUCAGGUAGGACUACCCGCUGAACUUAAGCAUACCAAUAAGCGGAGGA